rnacentral:rRNA from 1 species
AAAGGAAUAGACGGGGACCCGCACAAGCGGUGGAGCAUGUGGUUUAAUUCGAAGCAACGCGAAGAACCUUACCAAAUCUUGACAUCCCAAUGACAGAGUAUGUAAUGUACUUUUCUUCGGACAUUGGAGACAGGUGGUGCAUGGUUGUCGUCAGCUCGUGUCGUGAGAUGUUGGGUUAAGUCCCGCAACGAGCGCAACCCUUGUCUUUAGUAGCCAGCACGUAAAGGUGGGAACUCUAGAGAGACUGCCGGGGAUAACCCGGAGGAAGGUGGGGAUGACGUCAAAUCAUCAUGCCCCUUAUGAUUUGGGCUACACACGUGCUACAAUGGCGUAAACAAAGAGAGGCGAAAUAGUGAUAUGGAGCAAAUCUCAAAAAUAACGUCUCAGUUCGGAUUGUAGUCUGCAACUCGACUACAUGAAGCUGGAAUCGCUAGUAAUCGUGAAUCAGAAUGUCACGGUGAAUACGUUCCCGGGUCUUGUACACACCGCCCGU